rnacentral:rRNA from 1 species
UGGGGAAUAUUGGACAAUGGGCGAAAGCCUGAUCCAGCCAUGCCGCGUGGAUGAAGAAGGCCUUAGGGUUGUAAAGUCCUUUCGAUGGUGAAGAUAAUGACGGUAACCAUAGAAGAAGCCCCGGCUAAUUUCGUGCCAGCAGCCGCGGUAAUACGAAAGGGGCUAGCGUUGUUCGGAAUUACUGGGCGUAAAGCGCACGUAGGCGGCCUUGUAAGUUGGGGGUGAAAUCCCGGGGCUCAACCCCGGAACUGCCUCCAAAACUACAAAGCUAGAGGAUGUGAGAGGAUAGUGGAAUUCCGAGUGUAGAGGUGAAAUUCGUAGAUAUUCGGAAGAACACCAGUGGCGAAGGCGACUGUCUGGCACAUUUCUGACGCUGAGGUGCGAAAGCGUGGGGAGCAAACAGG